rnacentral:rRNA from 1 species
AUGUUUUUCUAUUUCUGUGGACCAAAUACCCAAGUUUCAAGAUUCUCGCAUUUUACUAUUGUUUUUUUGUGCAUGCACUCCUAUUAUAGUCUUGUCUUUUUUCUUCUCAUGAUCCUAUUUGAAUUUUACGAUCCAAAGAGGCUGGCCGCAUCUCUUAUGCAACGAGGUUUGCAAUCCUACGAUCAGGGACAGGAAGAAAAUUUCCUUACAAUUUUAAUCCUCUACUCCCUCCAAUCCAUAUUAAUUAUUAUUGAUUCAGUACAAAAUUGUACUAAAUCAGUGAAAUCCAGAAUCCCCUUGAUGCAUGCUCACAGCUACCUGUUCAGUUAUCAAGCACACAUCCUUUGUGAUGAGCAAGGCAAGUGA